rnacentral:lncRNA from 1 species
UGGUUGCCCAGCGUCUGGAACAGUUGGUGCAGGAGCAACUCAAGUCUCCGCCCAGCUCAGGACCCCUUCCUGGAAGUCUCCUGAGGAAUGCCAUAGAGGCAGCUUGGGUCGGUGGGACUUGGUGCUGGAAAACCCUGUCCCUCCAGGGUGGUCACAUGGCUUACACUGCCCCUCUGCCCCUCAGCUGGCCUCUGACCCGGCCCUGCAUCGUAAGCUGGCCCGCCUGUCAGCAGGCUCUUUCGCCCGCCUUGUGGAGCUCUUCUCUAGCCGGGGAGGCAGUUCCUCCCCAAACUGCUCAAGUCCCUCGAUGCCGUGCCCAGGGCCCCCACCGCCAUCCCCAGAUCCGCUGGCACGCCUAGCACUAGCCAUGGAGCUGAGCCGGCGCGUGGCUGGGCUUGGGGGUACCCUGGCCAGCCUCAGCAUUGAGCAUGUACACAGCUUCGCGCCCUGGAUCCAGGCCCAUGGGGGCUGGGCAGGCAUCCUGGCCACCUCACCUGUGGACUUGAACUUGCCUUUGGACUGAGCGUUUCCUCUGAACCGGCUGCAGGUGACCGAAGUAUGACGACACACAUUCUUCAGGGCUGUAGGGUGGCGGUUGCCCUACUUUUCUUUUUUUGCCAAAAAGACUGUUUAGUAUUAAAAGCUUUGUUCUUUGACUAGAG